GGCUCAGUGGUGGAAUUGGUAGACAUGAGGGACUUAAAAUCCCUUGGGCAGCAAUGCCCGUAAGGGUUCGAGUCCCUUUUGAGCUA
rnacentral:tRNA from 1 species